rnacentral:sRNA from 1 species
UCUUAAACCCGGUAGUAAUGGAAAUCCUUUUUAUUGCAUGAACAUAAUCACCUUCUAUUCGUGUAAAAUUUGCAAUAAAAAGAUUGAAAUGCAUAACGGGGCUGCAG